rnacentral:rRNA from 1 species
UACAUGUGGGGCAAGCGUUGUUCGGAAUUACUGGGCAUAAAGGGCGCGUAGGCGGCCUGUUAAGUCGAACGUGAAAUCCCCCGGGCUCAACCCGGGAACUGCGUCCGAUACUGGCAGGCUUGAAUCCGGGAGAGGGAUGCGGAAUUCCAGGUGUAGCGGUGAAAUGCGUAGAUAUCGGGAGGAACACCAGUGGCGAAGGCGACUACCUGGCCUGUUCUUGACGCUGAGGCACGAAAGCGUGGGGAGCAAACAGGG